GCAUCGGGGGUGGAGUGCAGGGGGUGGUCGCCGGGAUUUGUGGACCAGCGAGCGCGUCCCUCGCGGCGACAGAUUACGUGACGGCGGCAUGCUAUCCCCCGGGACCUCAGCUCACCCUGACCGCCUCUCACCCUCAGCCCCACGUCGUUGAUCCCGCGAUGACGCCCACCUCGGCGCCGGUACCGACUCCGACGACGGCGUCGGGACCCAACAACCCGGUCGCCAUGAGCCAACUGGGAACCGUCUAUGCCACCAAAAGACGACGUCGAAAUGGAAAAAGCUUAAAACCACCGCAAAAGGAUGGGGUAACGAAGUCGAAUCCGAGCAAACGGCAUCGCGAGCGAUUGAACGCCGAACUGGACACUCUGGCAUCCUUGCUUCCGUUCGAACAAAAUAUUCUCAGCAAGCUUGACCGACUCAGCAUCCUCAGACUCAGCGUCAGCUAUCUUCGAACGAAGAGCUACUUUCAAGUGGUGAUGCACAAAGACAAGGAAGAAAAUUCGCACCACGAUUCGCAUUACCGGGCGAGGGAAUUGGCGGCGUUCGCUGCCUACGACCAUCAUCAUCUCGAUGGCGAAAUGUUCCUGCAGGCGCUGAACGGGUUCCUGCUCAUACUGACCUGCGACGGCGAAGUGUUCUUCGCCACUCACAGCAUAGAAAGUUACCUUGGCUUCCAUCAGUCCGACAUCGUCCAUCAAAGCGUUUACGAGCUGGUCCACAGUGAAGAUCGAGAGGAACUCCAAAGGCAGCUCAUGUGGAAUUCUUUUCUACCCGCCGAAAGUGCGAGUCUCCCCUUGCACGACGCCCUUUCACCCCAGCACAGUCAUCUUCUCGAGCGCAGCUUCACCGUCCGCUUCCGGUGUCUCCUGGACAACACUUCCGGCUUUUUGCGUUUGGACAUCAGGGGUCGAGUGAAGAUACUUCAUGGUCAAAACAGGAAAACGGAAGAGCCGCCGUUGGCUUUGUUUGCUCUGUGCACGCCGUUCGGCCCACCAUCGUUGCUCGAAGUUCCACAAAAGGACGUGAUGUUCAAAAGCAAGCACAAGCUCGACCUUGCGCUGGUUUCUAUGGACCAACGAGGAAAAAUGUUGUUGGGAUAUUCGGACGCGGAACUCGCGAACCUUGGCGGCUAUGAUCUAGUCCAUUACGAUGAUUUGGCGUACGUUGCGAGCGCUCAUCAAGAACUAUUGAAAACCGGAGCAUCGGGCAUGAUAGCGUACAGAUUCCAGAAGAAAGACGGCGGGUGGCAGUGGCUGCAGACUAGUUCCAGGUUAGUCUACAAGAACUCGAAGCCCGACUUUGUCAUCAGCACGCAUCGGCCACUUAUGGAAGAGGAGGGCCGCGAUCUUCUCGGUAAACGAACAAUGGACUUCAAAGUGAGCUAUCUGGAUGCCGGUCUGACCAACAGCUACUUCUCGGACAGCGACAGCCUCACAGGUUCCGUGAUGACGCCGACACUUCCCAGCCAACCGACGUCACAGAGAGUGAACAGGCGGUACAAGACCCAGCUGAGAGACUUCCUGUCCACCUGUCGAAACAAACGUACCAAACUGACCGCUCAAUCGUCCGUUUCUCCACCCGCCACACCCACAGUCGCAUCCGUGGAUUACCUCGCCGCUGAUACCAGCGCUGCGGCUGCAGUAGCAGCAGCAUACAGCAACCUGAACACGAUGUACCCGACUGCUUACGCACCUACUGCGGUCGCAGCAAGCACGGAUCCCUCGUUGACCACGUAUAUUGGUCACACUGGCAACUAUCAUCAGACUUUGUACCCAGCUACUGCGUUGGACAAUAGGUACCUUACCGCAGCGACGGAAAACCUAUUUCAAUACAGGCCUCUGGGCUCCUAUUAUCCAGAGUACCAUACCAGCACAGCGUACAACGGUUUCAUCGACGUCUCGCUACCUACCUACGAGACGCAUCAACUAACGAGUAAAGCGGAAGAAAAGCUGUACUGUCAACAGCUGGGUGAAUCUCCUAAGUACAGCUACGUAGAAACCAGACAUCCUAGCAGCGUCAGCGGAUCCCCGUAUGCAGCCAGUCCUGUUGCGAGUGCAUCCACGAUGCAUACUGCAACGGCAGACAUUAACAUCGUCCGUGCUGGUAGCAGGCACUCCCUGGAAGGCGGAGCUUCCUCCAGCAAUUCCGCUGGAAGUUCCCCGGUGACCGGACCUACGAACGGCGUGCUCACUCCGAAAAUAGAGGACGUGAAACCGGAAGUUUACGGAAAUGAGGCGCCACGACAAACAGUUCUCAUGUGGGGAGCGCCCCCUGCGCGUACUCCACCGAGAAACAACGGCAGCUACAGCCCACCCACGCCACAUUCCACCCAUUCCUCUACACAUUCCACUAACGCUAACGCUGGAGAUCCGCUCAAGUCUCUGGCGGAAAUGAAUUCCAUGAACGGCGAGUGCAAAUGGCGACAGACGUCGCCAAGCGAGCAACAGACUACCGCGCCCAGUUCACCGAGGACCAAGGCGCAGCCACAGCAACAGCAUCAACACCAUCAACAGCAACAACAGCCCCAACAGCAACAGCAGCAGCAACAACAGCAACAACAGCAUCAGCAGUAUCCAGUGACCACGUCUCAGUAUCAAGCGGCAGCGGCAGCCGCGGCUGCAGCUGCGGCCGCAGCAGCCAGCACUAUCGGAUACGCGCACUCGCAUCCAGGCCAUGGCCACGGGGAAGCGGGCUCCGAGGUAUGGCAAGGAGUGCAACACCACCAUCACUACCAGUACUAUCCCUACCACCAUCACCACCCCGCACCACCAAGGCACGCGCCCCACACACCCCCGUCAGCUGUGGGAACGGGGACGGGAAUCGGCAUGGGCAUCGGCCCGGACAGCAACACCAGCAACAGCAACGUCUUGUACCACCCACCGCACCACCACCCUCAGCACCAACACGCGGUGGCAUCAUCAGCGGCGGGAAUGGGCCCAACUGUCCCUCAGAUUCCAAACCGGACGCCGGGAGUCCUCUGUUGUCCAUCUCUGAGGUGACUAACACCCUGCUCAACCAAUAGUCUCUUCGUGACCUCAGCAUCGCUCCGUUUCAGUGAUGAAGGUAUCUCCCAGGAGAUAGUUUCACCGAGGCGAAUCGCAAAACGCGUGACUGUACCAUACAGAUAAUACCGGUUGAAGUUGUUAAGAGUGUUGCCGUAUAAUGCUGUAACAUAACACACUUAUUUACAGUUAAUGCCCGA